rnacentral:rRNA from 1 species
ACGACCACCCAGAGCCGGAAAGUUGGUCAAACUCGGUCAUUUAGAGGAAGUAAAAGUCGUAACAAGGUUUCCGUAGGUGAACCUGCGGAAGGAUCAUUACCGAGUGCGGGAACCCAGUCGGGUCCCAAUCUCCCACCCGUGUCUACCACACCUAGUGUUGCUUUGGCGGGCCCACUNNUCCGGUGUUCCGCCGGGGGGGUCGUCCCGGGGCGCGGUGUGCCCCCGGGGCCCGUGCCCGCCAGAGGCACUCACUGUGAACGCUUUUGUGAAUGCGAGGAUUGUCUGAGUGACGAAAUGCAAUCGUUCAAAACUUUCAACAAUGGAUCUCUUGGUUCCGGCAUCGAUGAAGAACGCAGCGAAAUGCGAUAAGUAAUGUGAAUUGCAGAAUUCCGUGAAUCAUCGAAUCUUUGAACGCACAUUGCGCCCUCUGGUAUUCCGGGGGGCAUGCCUGUCCGAGCGUCAUUGCGAACCCUCAAGCACGGCUUGUGUGUUGGGCCGCCGUCCCCUCGUUUGGAGGGGACGGGCCUGAAAGGCAGCGGCGGCGUCGCGUCCGGUCCUCGAGCGUAUGGGGCUCUGUCACGCGCUCAAGGAGGGGUCCGGCCGGGGCCAUAGCCUCUGAAGGUCAAUUCUUCCAAGGUUGACCUCGGAUCAGGUAGGAGUACCCGCUGAACUUAAGCAUAUCAAUAAGCGGAGGAAAAGAAACCAACAGGGAUUGCCCCAGUAACGGCGAGUGAAGCGGCAAGAGCUCAAAUUUGAAAUCUGGCUCCUUCGGGAGUCCGANNUGUAAUUUGGNNNGGAUGCUUCGGGUAUGGCCCCCGUCUAAGUGCCCUGGAAC